rnacentral:rRNA from 1 species
AGAAUCAACGCUGGCGGCGUGCCUAACACAUGCAAGUCGAACGAGAAAGUGGAGCAAUCCAUGAGUAAAGUGGCGCACGGGUGAGUAACACGUGACUAACCUACCCUUGAGUGGGGGAUAACCUAGGGAAACCUGGGCUAAUACCGCAUAAUACCUUCGGGUCAAAGGAGCAAUUCGCUUAAGGAGGGGGUCGCGGCCGAUUAGUUAGUUGGCGGGGUAAUGGCCCACCAAGACGAUGAUCGGUAUCCGGCCUGAGAGGGCGCACGGACACACUGGAACUGAAACACGGUCCAGACUCCUACGGGAGGCAGCAGUGGGGAAUUUUGCGCAAUGGGGGAAACCCUGACGCAGCAACGCCGCGUGGAGGAUGAAGUCCCUUGGGACGUAAACUCCUUUCGAUCGGGACAUAAUGACGGUACCGGAAGAAGAAGCCCCGGCUAACUUCGUGCCAGCAGCCGC